UCCACGAGAGACUUAGGCACCCUACUCCAA
rnacentral:piRNA from 1 species